rnacentral:rRNA from 1 species
AGCCGCGGUAAUACGUAGGGUCCAAGCGCUGUCCGGAAUUAUUGGGCGUAAAGGGCUCGUAGGCGGUUCGUCGCGUCUGGUGUGAAAGCCCGCUGCUUAACGGCGGGUCUGCGCUGGAUACGGGCGGGCUUGAGUGCGGUAGGGGAGAACGGAAUUCCCGGUGUAACGGUGGAAUGUGUAGAUAUCGGGAAGAACACCGAUGGCGUAGGCAGUUCUCUGGGCCGUUACUGACGCUGAGGAGCGAAAGCGUGGGGAGCAAACAGGAUUAGAUACCCUGGUAGUCCACGCUGUAAACGGUGGAUGCUGGAUGUGGGGCUUGUUUCCACGAGUCCCGUGUCGGAGCUAACGCGUUAAGCAUCCCGCCUGGGGAGUACGGCCGCAAGGUUAAAACUCAAAGAAAUUGACGGGGGCCCGCACAAGCGGCGGAGCAUGCGGUUUAAUUCGAUGCAACGCGAAGAACCUUACCUGGGUUUGACAUGUGGACGAUGGCUGCAGAGAUGUGGCUUCCCUUCGGGGCGUCUUCACAGGAGGUGCAUGGCC